rnacentral:lncRNA from 1 species
GCGUUCCUUUUCUCACUUUCCAGGCGAAGACUCACCCCUGCACAGAGACCGGGCCUGAAAAUCCAGGCCAUGACAAAGUCCACCAAACCACCGCUUCCCCUGGUUGCCGGCCUGUGAACAAAGAACUGCCAUUUUCUUCUUUUUGCCCUGUGUUCGUCAUGCACCUUACUUCCUGAUGAAGCUGGAGGCCUUUUGCAUCCUCAACGUCAAGCGUCAUCAAGAGAAAUUUGAACAAAUCUACCAGCCUCUGCAAAGGGAACAUCAGAGACAUCAAGAACCUGCACAUCAGUCUAGAAAAAAUUUGAGCGAG